ACCCGACAGAAAGGAAACACUUGCUUAUUAGAAGUUAUGUUCUUUAAAAUCAAAGAAUUUGGCGGUAUCUUAGUCUUGUUAGAGGAACCUGUUCUUUAAGCGAUAAAACACGUAAUAUCUUACUUAUCUUUGUUUUACAGUUUGUAUACCGUCAUUAUUAAAUAAUUUUGAAAGGGUUAAUUAUUGGGAUUGACAGAUUGCGUCAAGUAUAUUAGAUCAAGGUGCAGCUUAUAGGUAAGUAGAAAUGGGUUACAAUAAUAUUUAUUUAGAACGAACUAUGGAUAGAAUUUAUUUAUAAGAAGGCGGAUGUAAUUGUAAAAAUAGUUUAACAAGCUAUUUUGAUACUGGCUCUAAGUUAUGUACAUAUCGCCCGUCACUUUCAUUUAAAAU
rnacentral:rRNA from 1 species